UUUAAAUGGCCGCAGUAUACUAACUGUGCAAAGGUAGCAUAAUCAUUAGUCUUUUAAUUGAAGGCUGGUAUGAAUGGUUGGACGAAAUAUUAACUGUUUCAUAAAAAUUUUUAUUAGAAUUUUAUUUUUUAGUCAAAAAGCUAAAAUAACUUUAAAAGACGAGAAGACCCUAUGAAUCUUUAUAUUUAGUUUAUUAUAAUUAUAUAGAUUAUUUUUGUUAUUAUAAAUUAUAAUAUUUUAUUGGGGUGAUAUUAAAAUUUAAUAAACUUUUAAUUUUAAAAUAUCAUUAAUUUAUGAAUAAUUGAUCCAUUAGUAAUGAUUAAAAAAUUAAGUUACUCUAGGGAUAACAGCGUAAUUUUUUUGGAGAGUUCAUAUCGAUAAAAAAGUUUGCGACCUCGAUGUUGGAUUAAGGUAUAAUUUUAGGUGUAGUCGCUUAAAUUUUAAGUCUGUUCGACUUUUAA
rnacentral:rRNA from 1 species